UACGGAGGGGGCUAGCGUUGUUCGGAAUUACUGGGCGUAAAGCGCGCGUAGGCGGAUCUGCAAGUCGGGGGUGAAAUCCCGAGGCUCAACCUCGGAACUGCCUUCGAUACUGCGGGUCUCGAGUCCGGGAGAGGUGAGUGGAAUUCCUAGUGUAGAGGUGAAAUUCGUAGAUAUUAGGAAGAACACCAGUGGCGAAGGCGGCUCACUGGCCCCGGUACUGACGCUGAGGCGCGAAAGCGUGGGGAGCAAACAGGG
rnacentral:rRNA from 1 species